rnacentral:rRNA from 1 species
UAGGGAAUCUUUGGCAAUGGACGAAAGUCUGACCGAGCAACGCCGCGUGAGUGAAGAAGGUUUUCGGAUCGUAAAACUCUGUUGUUAGAGAAGAACAAGGACGUUAGUAACUGAACGACCCCUGACGGUAUCUAACCAGAAAGCCACGGCUAACUACGUGCCAGCAGCCGCGGUAAUACGUAGGUGGCAAGCGUUGUCCGGAUUUAUUGGGCGUAAAGCGAGCGCAGGCGGUAUCUUAUGUCUGAUGUGAAAGCCCCCGGCUCAACCGGGGAGGGUCAUUGGAAACUGGGGGACUUGAGUGCAGAAGAGGAGAGUGGAAUUCCAUGUGUGCCGGUGAAAUGCGUAGUUAUAUGGAGGAACACCAGUGGCGACGGCGGCUCUCUGGUCUGUAACUGACGCUGUGACUCGAAGGCGUGGGGGGCAAACCGG